rnacentral:rRNA from 1 species
AUUGAACGCUGGCGGCAGGCUUAACACAUGCAAGUCGAGCGGAGUUGUGGUGCUUGCACCAUAACUUAGCGGCGGACGGGUGAGUAAUGCUUAGGAAUCUGCCUAUUAGUGGGGGACAACAUCUCGAAAGGGAUGCUAAUACCGCAUACGUCCUACGGGAGAAAGCAGGGGACCUUCGGGCCUUGCGCUAAUAGAUGAGCCUAAGUCGGAUUAGCUAGUUGGUGGGGUAAAGGCCUACCAAGGCGACGAUCUGUAGCGGGUCUGAGAGGAUGAUCCGCCACACUGGGACUGAGACACGGCCCAGACUCCUACGGGAGGCAGCAGUGGGGAAUAUUGGACAAUGGGGGGAACCCUGAUCCAGCCAUGCCGCGUGUGUGAAGAAGGCCUUUUGGUUGUAAAGCACUUUAAGCGAGGAGGAGGCUACUGGUAUUAAUACUACCGGAUAGUGGACGUUACUCGCAGAAUAAGCACCGGCUAACUCUGUGCCAGCAGCCGCCGUAACAC